AACACAACCAAAUCCACACUCGUCGCUGGCUUUCCCUGCCCUGCUGUGGAGCACAUGAACCCGGGGACGCAUUCGGCUUUCCUUUGAUAGGGGAAGGCAGCCCAAACAGCACCCAGACCAAGAGCCUGGAUCAGGGAUCCUGCUGCCUGAGACUUUCUAACUAGGCCAAGAAAUGAGGACACUGAACUACUUCUUCUUGAGAUGACGGAAUCUUGACCAGACCAGAGGGAGUGAGGUCUAUCUAUCCCACGAAGAAACUGAGAUGCAGCUUAUGAAAUAGAGGCUGACAAUGGCUCACCCACCUCCUUUGUAAGAGCCUGGUGUGUGCUACAGGAGCAUGGCCCAUAUACGUGUCAGGUUGAAGGACAACUCAGGAGCUGUCCAAGGCUCAACUUGGCCCCACUUGCCCCAUCUGGCAGCCUGGACCGAGCAUUGUUCAUUGAGUCCCACACCCACAUGGCCCCAGAGUCAAACCGCCUUUCAUGCUGAAGAAUGGAACUGAC
rnacentral:lncRNA from 1 species